rnacentral:rRNA from 1 species
GACGUAGGGCGCGAGCGUUGUCCGGAUUUAUUGGGCGUAAAGGGCGCGUAGGCGGCCUGUUAAGUCGAACGUGAAAUCCCCGGGCUCAACCCGGGAACUGCGUCCGAUACUGGCAGGCUUGAAUUCGGGAGAGGGAUGUGGAAUUCCAGGUGUAGCGGUGAAAUGCGUAGAUAUCUGGAGGAAUACCGGUGGCGAAGGCGGCAUCCUGGACCGACAUUGACGCUGAGGAGCGAAAGCUAGGGGAGCAAACGGG